GAAUGGCGGAGUAAACGCCACACCAACAUGAUGGUCUGUGGUAUUUUCUCCGAAAGCGAGGUGUUGCUGAACAGAACAUCAACCAGAUGCAACAAGACAAGUGUUAGACUUCAACAAUUUUGGGGGCUCGUCCGGGAUUGGAAAAGGGGAGAAGGAAUUCGACUUGGUCCAGUUGACCUAUACGGGACUCACAGGUUCCAGCACCGGUGCAUCAUAAAAAAGGUAAGCAGAGCCUGUUAUAUCUAAAUCUGCAUAUUGGCUAUGAACUAAAUUGUGAACCUGUGAAAAACGUAAUGGGACUGCUUUAAAUUCAGGAGGGCGAGGCAAUUGGUAUUGGUUCUGGGGUUGACUACCCUACGCCACUUCCUGACGGGGACGGUGGAGAGUUGCGAGUUAGAGUCUUUGCAACCAGUCGGGUUAGAGGCCCGAGGACUUAGGGGCACCUCGAAAUACUUAUUGUGUGUAAAGGUUCAGCUGGGUUAGAGGCCCAGGGAGUUUGGAACUCCCCGAAUUUUUUAUAAGAGAACUGGGUUCGAGUCCCAAAAGUGUUGGGUCAGGGACCCGUUAAUCAUUUGUUAAGCAUUCUGAGUCUGGGACUCACAGUAACAUAAGUCAGGGAGAAAUGGACGGGGAGUUUGAGAGAGAAGUUGAUGACGAUGGGUGGGGUCCAGGUACGGGAAAGUGGAAACAAUUGGGGAUACAGGUGGCAAAUGUAAUGACGGUUGUAGGCAGGAUGGACCCAAUUCAGAAAGAAAAAGAAGGGAUAGAAGAGAAAUUGUGGUGAGUGAGGCAGGAUUAAGGAUGGAGGAAAGGAGAUCAUUACAUGUUAUUUUGUGGAAUAAGGAGAAGGAGUGUUCCAAAAAUCGAGAUAGAGUUAGAGACAAGAAGGAAACAGCCAAUUUGGUCAAGAGAGGGAGAUAUAGAGAAAAGGAGAAGGAAUGGGAAAAGCACAGAAAAGAAUGGUGUAAAUUAGCCAUGUGGUGUCAGGGCGUAGACCAUUUGAACAAAGAGAAAAAGGGAC
ensembl:lncRNA